ACCGACUCGAUGGACAUGAGCUUGAGUGAACUCCAAGAAUUGGUGAAAAUGGCUGAAGAAUCCUGAAUUACUCUAGCAUCUCUUCACCCAGUGGCUCUACAAGACAACCAGUUAUAAGACAGAUGAAGUUUUCUUUAAUAUCUUUGAACCUCAGUUCUCUCAUCUAUGGAAUUAAGGAGGUCAUCUCUUUGACAGGAAUGAGGUGAGGGCACUGAAUGAUAUGUCCUGUUGAAAACUAAUGUACCAAAUGCCACAGAACCCCCUGAGGUAACAUUCACUAAGAUCAGAAAGAUCUUGACUAAGAAAUACUGGGUCAGAGAGCAUGAAGCAACUCACAGCACUACUCCAAUCACCCUGUGUUUCAGAAGUAGUUCAUUGCCAUGAACCUGGGAAUAAACUGACAUUUGGCAUAGCAUAUUCAAAAGCAGAGACAUUACUUUGCCAACAAAGUUCCGUCUAGUCAAGGCUAUGGUUUUUCCAGUGGUCAUGUAUGGAUGUGAGAGUUGGACUGUGAAGAAAGCUGAGUGCUAAAGAAUUUAUGCUUUUGAACUGUGGUGUUGGAGAAGACUCUUGAGAGUCCCUUGGACUGCAAGGAGAUCCAACCAGUCCAUUCUAAAGGAGAUCAGUCCUGGGUGUUCACUGGAAGGACUGAUGCUAAAGCUGAAACUCCAAUACUUGGCCACCUCAUGC
ensembl:lncRNA